rnacentral:tRNA from 1 species
AUUAGAUUGUGAAUCUAAUAAUAGAAGAUAAUAUCCUCUUAUUUACC